UACGUAGGGGGCAAGCGUUGUCCGGAAUCAUUGGGCGUAAAGCGCGUGUAGGCGGCCAGAAAAGUCCGCUGUGAAAACUCGAGGCUCAACUUCGAGCUGUCGGUGGAAACUUUCUGGCUAGAGUCCGGAAGAGGAGAAUGGAAUUCCUGGUGUAGCGGUGAAAUGACGCAGAUAUCAGGAAGAACACCCGUGGCGAAGGCGGUUCUCUGGGACGGUACUGACGCUGAGACGCGAAAGCGUGGGGGGAGCGAACAGG
rnacentral:rRNA from 1 species